UACAGAGGGUGCAAGCGUUGUUCGGAAUUAUUGGGCGUAAAGGGCGCGUAGGCGGCCUGGCAAGUGGAAGGUGAAAUCCCUCGGCUUAACCGAGGAACUGCCCUCCAAACUGCUUGGCUUGAGUCCGGGAGAGGUGAGUGGAAUUCCCAGUGUAGCGGUGAAAUGCGUAGAUAUUGGGAGGAACACCAGUGGCGAAGGCGGCUCACUGGACCGGAACUGACGCUGAGGCGCGAAAGCAUGGGGAGCGAACAGG
rnacentral:rRNA from 1 species